AGGCUAGUGGUUUAUGCAGCUGCCUUCCCACGGCAAAAGAAGGCCGCCUGGCAUAAAGCCCUGUGUGGCCCGGCUCGGCCCGGGAUUUCCGCGUGGAAGAGCCAGCCCUGCAACCGACCGCGAGUUGCGGGACGUGCCCGUAGGCGGGCGGUGCCCCGAGCGAGCGGGGCCAGACCAGAAAAGGAACAAAGUCGCCGGCCUUUACGCUCCGUCUCUGCGGCAGAGGGCGCGCCGUCCGCGGCAGAACCUGGAGCCGCAGACGGCGGCGAGCCGGCCGUCCGGCGCUGCACCCGACGAUGGGGCGACCGUGCGCCGCGGAGCUUCAGGCACCGGCAUCGGGCCCGCCUAAGCACCGGGCUGCGGGAGACGGCCCCGACCCCGCCCCCGGAGCCCCGCACACUGCGGGGAAGCCCUCGCCGCGAUGGCCGCGCACGCGCACUGCAGCCUCACUGCGUCGCCGGAGCCGCCUGGCCCGGCGCCAGGGGAGCCCCGCGCGCCGGCAGCGGGGCUGCCCGGGCGGGGCGGGGCAGCGGCCGCGGCGAGCGACUAUUUAUAGCGCGGGAGGCUCCCCCGGCCCGGGCAGCGUUCUUGCGCGGCUCCUUGGCGUGCGUGUUGCGUCGAGCAGACGGCCGAGGGUUCCCUGCGGAGCCGGUGCAGGGUGCAGCCAGCGCUUUGCGGGGUGGGCAGGAAAGAGGUGUAGCCGCGUCAGGGGACAGUCCUAAGGCCGCGAGAGUAGAGUCCCCGAGCGCUGUCACAUUUCAUCGCGCUGAAGUCAGUGGUGGCUGUGGCCAUUUAGUAUGUGGGGCUUUCUGUUUAUCAGUGCACUGUUCUUCGCUACGUGAAGGAGGCGCACGGAGCCGGGGUCUGUCCCGGUCUGGCGCUAUGGGCAGACCUCCGUCGGGAGCGGGCGGAGCAGGGCGAUCCCGGCAGGCCGCUGGAAUCCCGGAGAUUCCUCUUUUUCGGGAGCGGGCAGCUCCUGCCUUGGGCGCGCUGCCACCACUCAGAAAACUCCACAUCGAGGCUGCCUCGGGAGCCGCCGUGAGCGGCGCUUGGCUCCACCGCGGAGACGGAGGGGAGGCGAGUAGUGCGAGCUGA
rnacentral:lncRNA from 1 species